ACUGGUUUAGGGCCUGACCUCGCUGCCGUUGGUGGAGCGGAUGGGCGCCCUGAGCCGCUUGGAUCUGGCUGGGAACGAACUGCGGGCGCUGCCGGCGCUGGGGGCGCUGCGGAGGCUGCGGGUGAGAAACCAGUAUGGACCAGUACAAACCAGUAUAGACCAGUAUAGACCAGUACAGACCAGUACAGGCCAGUACAGGCCAGUACAGGCCAGUAACCAACCCAGUUACACCAGUAACGCACCCCAGUUUGUCCCAGUAACUCCCAGUCCAUCCCAGUUUGAUCCCAGUCCCUCCCAGUAUAAACCAGUCCAAUCCCAGUCCGUCCCAGUCCCUCCCAGUAUAUCCCAGUUUGAUCCCAGUCCGUCCCAGUCUGAUCCCAGUCCGUCCCAGUUUGUCCCAGUCCAUCCCAGUAUAUCCCAGUUUGAUCCCAGUCCCUCCCAGUAUAAACCAGUCCCAUCCCAGUCCAUCCCAGUUUGAUCCCAGUUCAUCCCAGUCCAUCCCAGUCCAUCCCAGUUUGUCCCAGUCCAUCCCAGUAUAUCCCAGUUUGAUCCCAGUUUGUCCCAGUCCAUCCCAGUCCCUCCCAGUCCCUCCCAGUCCCUCCCAGUUUGAUCCCAGUCCCUCCCAGUCCCUCCCAGUCCAUCCCAGUACGUCCCAGUCUGUCCCAGUACGUCCCAGUUUGCAGGAGCUGGAUCUCUCCGGGAACCACGUGACCGAGGUGGGCGUGGCCUCGCCCCUCCCCCGCCUGCGGCUGCUGCGGCUGGACCGGAACCGUACGGGAACCUACUGGUUUAUACUGGUUUAUACUGGUUUAUACUGGUUUAUACUGGUUUGGGCUGGGAAUGGGGCUGGGGGCACUGGGAUAAACUGGGA
rnacentral:lncRNA from 1 species